rnacentral:rRNA from 1 species
CCUACGGGGGGCUGCAGUGGGGAAUAUUGCACAAUGGGGGAAACCCUGAUGCAGCAACGCCGCGUGAGUGAAGGAGUAUUUCGGUAUUUAAAGCUCUAUCAGUAGGGAAGAAGAAAGACGUUACCUGACUAAGAAGCCCCGGCUAACUACGUACCAGCAGCCGCGGUAAUACGUAGGGGGCAAGCGUUAUCCGGAUUUACUGGGUGUAAAGGGAGCGUAGACGGCUGUGCAAGUCUGAAGUGAAAGCCCGUGGCUCAACCGUGGAACUGCUUUGGAAACUGUAUGUUUUGAGUACUGGAGAGGCAGGCGGAAUUCGUGGUGUAGCGGUGAAAUGCGUAGAUAUUAGGAGGAACACCAGUGGCGAAGGCGGCCUGCUGGACAGAAACUGACGUUGAGGCUCGAAAGCGUGGGGAGCAAACAGGAUUAGAUACCCCAGUAGUC